AUGGUUUUCACAGCUUUUGUUAUCACCUCCGCCUUGACAAAAUCUGUAGGGCAAUCUCUCCUAAAAUCCAACGUCAAUUCCACAGCUAAUCCCAAGUCUUUCACCAGCUGAAAAGCAUUCAUGUGUUGCUCAGCAUAUAAUGGCCAAGUUAUAAUAGGCACAGCAUACCACAAGGCCUCCAAAGUUGAGUUCCAUCCACAGUGUGAUACGAAAGCGCCUACUGCUUUAUGUGCCAAGAUUUCUACUGUGGUGCCCAUCCACAUAGCAUCCCAAUGUUUUUAGUUCUUUCCAAGAAUCCCUGUGGCAAGAUCUCUUCAUAGUUGUCAAAAAAACUAGCUUGCAGCAUCCCCUUGGAGGGUUUCAACCGGAUGGACCAUAAGAACCUAUGUCCACUCCUCUCGAGCCCGAUUGCAAUUUCUUUCAACUGAGCUUCAUCAAAGCCUCCUCCACUCCCGAAGCACAAGAACACCACUGAUUUUUCAGGUUGAUCAUCAAGCCAUUUCAAGAUCUCGUCACGCUUGACGCCAUCGGAUCCUGACAGACUCUUUCCCUUGUGAUCAAUCAAUGGCCCAACAUUGAAAAUAGGUGGUAUAUCAUCUCUAGCCAAAAGAGCACUAACUGCAUGGGACUCAGCUUCUGAAAAUGUAUUAACAAUGAUACCGUUGGAGUCCUUAAACUUUCUUCCAUGGUUUGCAAAAGUCUCGUAUUCCACAUCGGUGUGCAAUAACGACAUAACACGGUAAGGCACGGGAUUUGAAAAACAGGGGAUGAUAUAGUCAGGGUCAGUAGGGCUAAACUUAGGCUCACCCUUGUCUUGUCUAUCUGAAAGGUAAAGCGUCAUGGCAAGAAAGGCAGCAUCAGAAGUGAAAAAAACAUGAGAAGGGACCCCAAGUUCUUUGGAAACAUCAAUAAAUGCAGUGCAGAACAUAUCAACAACAACACUAGCAAUUGGUGCAGGGUUGUGGGCCAUGACUUGGUUAACAAUAGUAUCUUUUACAAGGGUUUUGUGAUCAUUGAUGUAAGAAGUAUAAGCACUUGCAGGGCUUACAGCUAAAGCUUCUGGAGGAGGUGCAGGUAUGGUCUCAGGAAUUUCGAUGAACCUGAUUUCUGUAUGAAUUGAAGCAAGCGAUUCGCUGUUCUUGCUUAUGCUACCGUAAAAUGGAUUGUUGAUGGCAAGCAUGGUUAUCAAGAAACUGUCGUUUCUCUUAAGAACCAUCUUUGCUAACUGAACAGCUGAUACAAGGUGGCCAAAUCCAGGUGCAGGGACAAAGACGAGCUGUGUUUUCUUCAUUUUGGAGGUUUUGAAUGUUCAAUGUGGUGAUCCUUGUUUGCCUUAUAAUGGGCUCAAGGUCAAUGCUAGCUGUUAUGUUUUUUUUUUUUUUUCUAAAUUAAUCAUCAAAUCAAAUUGGAUAUAACAAAUAUUACGAAGAUUGAUUUCAUAGAAAAAUUUUCUUGUAAUGUUUUUAAACAAUUCAAAUUAAAUAAAAAAAAUAUAAAUAUAAAAGAAAAUAAAGCUAGGGUUUCAUUAAUCAUUUUAUUCUGAAAUUAUAUUUUUAAUCUAAAUAUAAAAAAAUUAUAUAUAAACUAAACUAAAAAUACUAUUUUAUUUUUAAUAAAUAAAAUUAAAUAAAUAUACUUUUUAACAACAUUCAUCUUUCCCGUAAAAUAUCUUUUACUAUGAUAAUUUAAUUAAGUAUCACUUGAUUAAAAUAUAUUUUAAAAAUUAAAGAUUAUAUUAUAAUUAAUACAAGAGUUAUAUUUCUAGACCUAGAAAAAUCAAGUAAGGAUUUAAUUGAUUAAAUUUCUAAAAUUAAUUACCCUUAUAUAAUAUAUGGAUAUUAUUUAAGAGCAAAUAAAUAUAUUUUGUCAUUUAUACGGUUUUAUGAUUUCUUAUAAAUAUAAAACUAAGCCUAUUAUUUUGUAAAUAAAAAAUAAUGAUUGUCUGUUAAAUAGAAAAAUUAUGUAAAUAUAAUAUUAGAGCUAACACUCUAUACAUAACAAUUUAUCAUUUCUAAACAAAAAUUUAUGAGUUUUUUUCACGGGUAGUUUGUGUAUAUUAUCAUUAGAGAUCAGGUAAUGAAAUUAUUUAUAGUUUAUGUCAACCUAACUUUUAAAAAAUAAUUUAAAAUAAAAAAAUAAAUAUUUAAAUAAUUUUAAACUUAAUAUAAUAUGAUAUAAGAAAUGAUAUCCUGUUAGUGCGAGUUUGUGUGUAUUGACAACUUAAUAUAUUCAGUCAUGCGAAUUCUUUGUAGUUGUUAACUUGUUAUGGUUUCAAAUUGAGGAAGGACGUAGUUUUUAAUGUCAACAACAAUGAUUGAUUGUGAUUGCAUUUAAUAGCUAGACAGUUACAUGGCUAGAAAGAAUCCAAAGAUAUAAUAUAUACAUGAUGAUAUUCUAUUUAAAUUUAUUAAAUGGCAAUUUCGUAGGAAUUGCUAAAGUGUUAAAUUGUGGAUGAAGUUUUUUAUGAAUUUUUAUUUUUAUUUUAUUCUAUUGUACUUUUCAUCAUUGAUAGUUAUUUAUGAAAAAUAUUAUAUCACAAUUUAUAUCAAAAUUAUUGACACAAAAAUUCUAUCACUAUUAUCUUCUAAAAUUAUUGAUGAAAAUUUUUUCAUUGCCAUUUCUGAUUUUAUUUAUUAAUUUUCUGGUAAUAAUAAUCUUAUGCUCAGGUUUAUAAUCCUAUAAUUAAAAAAAUAGUAUCUGAAAUUGAAACUUAAAAGAAGAUUAAACCUUCCAUUUUUAAAUUAUAUGAAAUGUUGAUAAUACAACUAAUCAAACAUAAACUAACAAUCAUUAAUUUAAACAAAAUUUAAGAAUUGAUGGUAUGAUUCCAUAAAUUAAUUAUUAAAAUUACAUUUUAUAAAUUUUUAUCAAGUAAUUCUACCAUCAAUUCCUAAAAUCUAACAAUCAUUUAAACAAAAUUUAAGAAUUGAUGAUAGAAUUACUUGGUAAAAUUUUAUAAAAAUAAGCAAACUUUCUUAAUAAUCAUAUACACCCAUCCUUCUUAUUAAAUGACAUUUAAAUGUCUAAAGUAAAGAAUACCUACAUCUAGCUAAAACAAAAUUCGGGAUUCUUCUACAAUAAAAAUGCUAUCAUUUCAUGCACGCAUCAUAAACGAAAAAUCCAAACCAACAUGAUCAUAUAUAUAUAUAUAUAUAUAUAUAUAUAAAUGUAAUGACACAUAAACUUUCCAGUCAAAAUAUUAUAUUUUGAAGAGUGAAAAUACAAACAAUGUUAGUUAAUCUAAAGCUAUCACAUGCCCAACUAUUCUAAUGGCUCUAAUUUUCAACUACUAAUGAAAAAAAAAAUACUAAAAAGUAUUUUUAUAUAUUAAUUAAAAUAAAGUAUACAAUAUUAAGAUUAUUCAAAAUGUUAGACUCACAUCAUGCAUAAACUCAUAUGAGCUUAUCUUUUAAUGUAUCAUGAAUGAUUUUAUUGGUGUGGGUUUUUUUUUUAUAUAUAAUCCUGAAUAUUUAGAUUAUAUUUUUAUAUGUACCUUAAUUAAUUUUUUUAAAAUUCUAAAUUUUACAACCAUGUGAUGUAUUGAUGGGGAAGGCAGUGAGGUGGUGACUGUUUCUGGAGGGACGGGUGCUUGUAAAUUAGAUAGUGAUGGGUCGACAAGCCAUGGCCAUAAGCAAAAAGAUAAAGGACGAGGAGAGGGAGAAAAAGUUGUGCAUAUUUUGUGCAACAUGUGAUGGUGGAACAGGAUAAAGGACGAGGAGAGGGAGAAAAAGUUGUGAAUCCCUGUGGCAAGAUCUCUCCAUAGUUGUCAAAAAAACUAGCUUGCAGCAUCCCCUUGGAGGGUUUCAACCGAAUGGACCAUAAGAACCUAUGUCCACUCCUCUCGAGCCCGAUUGCAAUUUCUUUCAACUGAGCUUCAUCAAAGCCUCCUCCGCUCCCGAAGCACAAGAACACCACUGAUUUUUCAGGUUGAUCAUCAAGCCAUUUCAAGAUCUCGUCACGCUUGACGCCAUCGGAUCCUGACAGACUCUUUCCCUUGUGAUCAAUCAAUGGCCCAACAUUGAAAAUAGGUGGUAUAUCAACUCUAGCCAAAAGAGCACUAACUGCAAGGGACUCAGCUUCUGAAAAUGUAUUAACAAUGAUACCGUUGGAGUCCUUAAACUUUCUUCCAUGGUUUGCAAAAGCCUCAUAUUCCACAUCGAUGUGCAAUAACGGCAAAAGACGGUAAGGCACGGGAUUUGAAUAAGAGGGGAUGAUAUAGUGUCAGUAGGGCUAAACUUAGGCUCACCCUUGUCUUGUCUAUCUGAAAGGUAAAGCAUCGUGGCAAGAAAGGCAGCAUCAGAAGUGUAAAAAACAUGAGAAGGGACCCCAAGUUCUUUGGCAAUAUCAAUAAAUGCAGUCACUACAAGAUUUAACAGUUUUACUGAUGGAAUUUCCGUCAGUGUAAGACACAUAUUCCAUCGGUAAUUAAUUUACCGACGACAUGACCGACGAAGAAUUUCUGUCGGUGAAUCUUUAUGAUUACAUAUCUGAUAAUCAAUGUUUUGCAGGUAUGAGAUGCAGGAUCUGCAUGUUUCUGAGACCCUUCCUCAAAUGGUUGCUCUCUCUGAGGCAUACCUGCAGAUAUAUGAGCAGCAGCAGUAGCACUGGAGUUUAGAAGUCCUAUUGUCAACAUGUUGUCAUACUGUUUUUGGGUACAAGUAACACAAGAGUCUUACCUUCUGUAAAUGGUUGAGGAAAAAUCGGAAUAUGAUGGAACCAUUGCUUGACUGGCACUUGGCAGAUUUACUAAGCUUAGAAAAACAUUGAGGUUUUGUAGAAAAAAGGCAGUGCUUUGUCUGUUUCAUACCAUUAAAAGGAUGAACAGUUUUGUUACUAAAAAACUUUCCAUCUAUUGUAGCAGAGCAGGAAACUUAAAUAAUGCGGUGAUGAUUGACUUAGGUGAUUCAGACAGUGACUUCGGUUUGGUUGUCAUGCUUUGUGUACAACUUUGAUCUGUAGGGAUAAAAAAUGAUAUGCUAGGCUUUGGUUUGUUCAUUGUUACCGAGUUCUCAUGGCAGUAAUGUCAUGAAAAGCAGUAUUCGUAGGCUUCUCUUGUUUUAUUGUCGACACUUCAUUGCCUGGAUUUCUUUCUGCUAGUAUUUUUCUUACAGUGAUGUGGUGGAUUGUAUUCUGUUUCGUAUUGUUGUGAUUUUUUGAAGUGCAGCAGUUUCUACUUGAAAAAAGUGUUAAUGCAAACAGAUUUACCAGAGACAGAGACAGCCUGAAUUGAAGGUAUGUAUGCGUCCUAUCAAAUACACACAGCCCUGCUUGAAUGGUAUGUGUGCCUCCUUUCAGAUAAAGUAGUCCAGCACACGGGGAAGCCCUAAUAUUAAAUGGAGUGCUCAGUGAUGGAGAUUGCAAGCAAUGCCCUCGGUAGGGAAGUCACUGAAUGGAGGCCACGAGCCAGCAACCGAGACUUGAUCCCCGAGUUUUUGUCGGGACGGAGACAGUAAAGAUCCCCCCUUGAUUCAUAGCCACUUUCUAAAGGUUUCAAGUUGAGACUUGAUCUCCUGGUUUUGGACAUCGCUCUUUGGAGGUAUAAAACUAGUAUAAAUGUAAUAAUGUUUUUUUUUUUUGGUAUGAUUAAAUUUUGGAUUGGAUUUGAUUUAAAUAAAAACUUAACUCACAUUAAAUUAUUCAAUAAAUCUUAACUAACACAUCGAGGAAUCUAGAUUAUUUAAUUUGCAAUGAACCAUUUCGAUCCUUGUAUUUUCUCUCUAAAUGAUAAAAAUGAUAAAGGAGAGGCAUCAAACAAUUAUCACCUCCACAUAUUUUUAUUUGAAGUGUAUAUUAACGAGUUGGGGUGAGCAAAAAACCGAGAAAUCAAGAAAACUAAAAAAAAAAUAACUGAAAAAAUCGAAUCGUGAAAAAAAAAAAACUGAUUAAAUUUUUUAAAAAACUGACCGGUUUGGUAUUGGUUUUAUAAGCCUAAAACCAAAUCGAAUCGAAAAAAAUCGAGCCAAACCGGAAAAAAUCGAGCCAAAUUGGAAAACUGAGCCAAACUGAAAAAAACCGGCCGGUUCGAACCGGUUUCAGUUCGGUUUCGAUUUUUUUCUUAAUUUUUUUUUUAUUUGGUUACUUUUUUGAUAAAAACCAAACCGAAUCAAACCGAAUUUGAUAACCCCUAUUAAUAAGACUGGCAUUCCCUUCAUUAGUAGCCAUACUAUUAGAGAAUGAGGAAGUGUUGUCUGCAGUAAAUAAUGUAUCAGCAAAUGGUGCCAAGUGUAGAAGCAACAUUAAAUAGAUGAAACAAUUAUGUCAAGUCAUUUUAUUGAUUCUUAUUUUUAAAGUAUAAAGAACUUUCUUCAAUUAGACGCUCUUGAUAUAAACAAUUUUUUAGGAGGAUGGUAGCAUUUAUAUUCCUUUUGUGUUGCAGAAUAUCCCAAAAAAACACACUUAACGAAUCAAGCUUGUUACUGAUGUGAAAUUUGUAUAUGAACAAAACAAGUGUAACUAAACAUUUAUAAAUAAGAUAAAUUAGAUGGUUGUUUCUGCAAAACUUCAAGAAAAGAUUUAAAAUGUAAUACUUGACUAAGUAACUGAUUGAUUAGAUAUGCAACACAUAACACUUUGUGAGACCAAAAUAUUUUAGAAACAUGCAUGUGUAUCUCUAGUUAUUUUUUCAUAAGUCUUUGUUUUUACAUUCAGCUGCCUCAUUUUUAUUGUGGUAUGCCAACACAGCUGGAACAGACCCUUCGAUGUUGUUUUCCGAAUGGAUUAUAAGAACUUUUGUGCACUCUAUUCGAGCCCAUUUGCUAUGUCUUUCAAUUGAGGUUCACUAAAGCAUGUGGUUUGCUAACUUAAUUGCUGACACAAGAUGACCAUGUUUUGCUGCAAGAAUUAACACUAGCUGUGGUUUCUUGAAGAAACUUUCUUCAUUCCAAUAAUAACGGUAGGAAAAAGGUGAAUGUUAAGUUUGUCGGUAUAAGACCCAAUCUAGUUUGACACGUUAAUUUAAUGACUCAUUUAUUCAAAGUUUGGCUUGGUGGGUUAACGUGAUGACUAGGUCAACACAAUGACCCACUGACUCAGAGCUUGGCUUGGCCAAGUGACUGAAAAAUCAAAUAUAUAUAUUUUUUUUUAUCAAAACAACGAUGUUGUUUAAGUUUUUUUUUUUUGUUAAAAAAAAAAGCUUGGGAUGAAUUGAAUCAAACCCAUCAAUCUACAACCCCACCUUGCGUAGAGUAGACUCCUCGGUCAGGUAUUAUAAUUAUGGUUAUGUGUGAACUAUAAAAUAGAAAGAAAUGACAAGUUGAUCUCUCUUAAGAGAAAAGGAAGAUGAAUUGCCUCCGGUAGUAAAGAAUUAAUGUCUAACUUAUAUAGGUGCGUUAGUUGUGGAUUUUUCAUUGGAAAGAAAUGACAAGUUGAUCUUUCUUGAGAGAAAAUGAAGAUGAAUUGCCUACGAUAGUGAAGAAUUCAUGUCUAACUUAUAUAGGUGCGUUAGUUGUGGUUUUUCAUGAUUAAAUUAUGUGGAUUGUUUAACAGAGUUAUUUACCAAUCAAUAAGACAUGGUUAAGUUCAAAAAGAGGUUUGGAUUGAGCAGCGUGCUCGGUCUGAUAAAAAAUCCCAUAAUUUUUUAUAUAUUCUUUUAAUCACUCUCAAAUUUAGUUAGGAAAUUCCAAAGAUGGAGACCCAAAAGCCUUUAAAUUAGGCUUAGAAGGAGCUCAUCAAGUUAGUUUUGUUAUUUUUUUUUAAUUAUUUUGGAUUUUUAGUUUGGUUAGAACUUUUAUUGCUUGGUAUUUUAUGAUUAGGACUUUAGUUUCAUUUCUUGAGUACGUCAAUUUUUUAGAUUUAUUUAAAUAAUUAUAAAUAUAUUAAAAGAUACAAAAUAUUAAAGAGAAAAUAUGCAGUAAUAAAUUUUUAAAUUAAAAUUUUUAUGUCGUUAUUCUACAAAAUUUAACGGGUUUGUGUUUAUGUUUUUUUUUUUUUUAUCAUUAUUAUCCGGGCCCCGCAUCACUUACUUCCAAAUGAUGGUGUGACAGCUGAAGCCAAUCAGUGAUGAUCUACCGGUGAAGGAAGCAAAUAUCACUUGCUUAGUUGCUUUUGCGUGUGGUCAAGAACAAGAUGCAUAUCCCCUUGCACGUCACUACACAUGUAAGCAAGUUAUUAGUUGAACCAUUUAGGUGGUGCUCCAAUAAUAAAAAUUUAAGACCAAGAGGUUUGUAAUUUUUGUGGUUUCAAGUUCAAAUUCUAGGUUGCUUAUAUGAUGGCUACUGGAGGCUUACAUGGUCGUUAAUUUCAGGACUUGUGGGAUUAGUCGAGGUACGCGCAAACUAGCUCGGACACCCACGUUAAUCUAAAAAAAAAAGUUAGCAUUAGUUUACAAUAUUAAGGUGUACGGCUUUGAUUAAGUUUUAAAUUUGUUUUUUUAAAUUAUUAAUUUAAGUUUAAUAAAUUUUAAGAUUAUUAGAGAUUUAUGUAGUUAUUAAUUUUAAAAUUUAUAAAUUUAAUCAAGAUAUAUACAAAUUAACCAAACACUUAAAAUAAUAAUAAUAAAUUGGCAUUAGCCGGUGUAAUAGAUUUUAAUGCUAUAAAACAAAAGGAAGAAAAGAACAAAAAAAAAAGGUACGGUCAUUUCAUAAGGCCUCAACUUUAAUUAACUUCGUCAGAACUAAUGUUGCAUAGGAAAUAGAUCACUACAACAUGACCAAAUCAAACAAACUAUAUAUAUAUAUAACACACACAUGAUAAUUAAAGACUAUAACUUAAUUUAAUUUGAGGAGAAUGAAAUUAAGCCACGACAGGAAUUAAUCAACAUGGUAAAUAAUAUUGCAAUCAAAGUUAGAGCCUGCAAAUCCAAUCAAACUAAUAUUAACAUCAGAGUUAGAAACAGACAAGGAAAAAAAAGUACCCCUGGCACUAGUUACCAACAAAGAAAAAAGAAUCAGUGAAUUUUUGCAGGAGAUGAACAAGAUAAACAAAGUAACUUACCUGGUGAAGACUAGAAAGAUGCCGUUGUUGUUGUAUUGACUCUGGUUCUCACAAUGGAUGGUGAAAAGGAUGCCGUCGAUGAUGAAAAAAAUUAAAAAGGUGAGGGGCGAGGGCUGUUAUGGAGUAUCGGUUGACAGUGGUUGAUUGUUAGAUCGUGGACGGCUGAGAGAAAAAGAUUAAGAGACCGAGUCACUGAGGAAUCCUCAGUGAGGAUUUAUAAUUUUGGGAUUUUUUAUGUUCUGAACGUGAAUGGUUAAUGUAAAGAGAAGACUGCAUGCAUGAUUGAUGAUUGAGUGAAUUUGUAUUUACUCUGUUAAAGUCAAUACGCGGUCGACACCUGGCAGCCACAUUGCAUUUUUAUUUCCAGCGGCUAAACUCGUUCAAUCGGUGGUGAAAUCACGACUUUACAUAAUUUCACCCGAUUUUAAUGAUUUUACGUAUUUUCGAGUUUUAUAAAUGAUUUAGCACGUAAAGCCUAUAUUAACUCGUAAAAACGUAUGAUUUUACGAGUUGAAUCGCGAUUUUAACAACCUUGGUUAUAUGUCUUAUGGAAAUAAAAACUAAAAUCAUCAAAUUUAAUUUAAGAAAAUAAUAACUUACAAAAGAAAAUGGUUUAAUGAACUUAUCAAUUCUCAGUCGUAGUGAAUUUGCUGGCUUCGAUUCCCUACAUUGGAGUGUGAUUAUCGUGUGAAACGCUCGAACAUCACAUGAUAAAUAUAUCCCAUCUAUAUAUUUUCCGGGAUGUAUGACGGCUUGAAAUCCUUCUAAACCACCACGUCAUUCCAACCAGACAAAGCCUUUUUCCUAGCAUAAAUAUUUCUAAACUAUCCAUCAAGUUUCAGGUAUUUAUAUAGAUAUCUAUUAUCUAUUAUUAUUUAUUAAUUAAUAAAAAAUAAAAUAGUAUAUAUGCGUGUGUUUUUUUAAAAAAUAUCAUAUUAUUUUUUUAAAUAUAUUCAAUAAACAAGUAGGCUUCGGUUAAUAUUCAAAAGUCUCAUGUUAAAUUAUUACCCCUGUCCCGCCAUAUUACACAAGUUAUGCACAACUUUUUUUCUUUCUCCUCGUCCUUUAUCUUUUUGCUUAUUGCCGUAGCUUGUCGAUCCCUCUCGAUCAAAUUUACAAGCACCCGUCCCUUUUAAAAUAAUCAUCUUUUCUUUAAAUUAAAUUUAGGUUGUAGCUAAACAAAUUAAGUUUUAAAUUUAAUUUUAGAGAUUAUUAAUUCAAGUUUAAUAAAUUUUAGAAUAAUUAAAAAUUUAUAUAAUUAUUAAUUUUAUAAUUUAUAAAAUUAGUUGAAAUAUAAAUAAAUUGAUCGGAAUACUCAUAUUAAAAAUAAAUAACAUUAGUUGAUGUGAUAUAUUUUAAUACUAUCAAAAGGAAGAAAAGAAAAAAAAAAUACAGUCAUUCCAUGAGACCUCGACUUUAAUUAACUUCAUCAGAACUAAUGUUGGAUAGGAAAUAGAUCACUGCAACAUGACCAAAUCAAACAAACUAUACAUAUGAUAAUUAAAGACUAUAACUUAAUUUAAUUUGAGGAAUGAAAUUAAGCCACAGUAGGAAUUGAUGAUCAUUGAUGGAAUCAACAUGGUAGAUAAGGCGUAAACUCUUCAAGGUUUGCUUCCUAACCAUUGAUCAAUCAAGUUUCCAAAAGCAACAUACGAAGAUCCACCCUCCACCACAGCUUUCUUCGCCAUUUCACUGGUUUCUGUGGCCUUGUUCCUCAGUUCACCACCUUGUUCCAUCAUGGUUUUCACAGCUUUUGUUAUCACCUCCGCCUUGACAAAAUCUGUAGGGCAAUCUCUCCUAAAAUCCAACGUCAAUUCCACAGCUAAUCCCAAGUCUUUCACCAGCUGAAAUGCAUUCAUGUGUUGCUCAGCAUAUAAUGGCCAAGUUAUAAUAGGCACCGCAUGCCACAAGGCCUCCAAAGUUGAGUUCCAUCCACAGUGUGAUACGAAAGCGCCUACUGCUUUAUGUGCCAAGAUUUCUACCUGUGGUGCCCAUCCACAUAGCAUCCCAACGUUUUUAGUUCUUUCCCAGAAUCCCUGUGGCAAGAUCUCUUCAUAGUUGUCAAAAAAACUAGCUUGCAGCAUCCCCUUGGACGGUUUCAACCGAAUGGACCAUAAGAACCUAUGUCCACUCCUCUCGAGCCCGAUUGCAAUUUCUUUCAACUGAGCUUCAUCAAAGCCUCCUCCGCUCCCGAAGCACAAGAACACCACUGAUUUUUCAGGUUGAUCAUCAAGCCAUUUCAAGAUCUCGUCACGCUUGACGGCAUCGGAUCCUGACAGACUCUUUCCCUUGUGAUCAAUCAAUGGCCCAACAUUGAAAAUAGGUGGUAUAUCAUCUCUAGCCAAAAGAGCACUAACUGCAUGGGACUCAGCUUCUGAAAAUGUAUUAACAAUGAUACCGUUGGAGUCCUUAAACUUUCUUCCAUGGUUUGCAAAAGUCUCGUAUUCCACAUCGGUGUGCAAUAACGACAUGACACGGUAAGGCACGGGAUUUGAAAACAGGGGAUGAUAUAGUCAGGGUCAGUAGGGCUAAACUUAGGCUCACCCUUGUCUUGUCUAUCUGAAAGGUAAAGCGUCAUGGCAAGAAAGGCAGCAUCAGAAGUGUAAAAAACAUGAGAAGGGACCCCAAGUUCUUUGGAAACAUCAAUAAAGGCAGUGCAGAACAUAUCAACAACAACACUAGCAAUUGGUGCAGGGUUGUGGGCCAUGACUUGGUUAACAAUAGUAUCUUUUACAAGGGUUUUGUGAUCAUUGAUGUAAGAAGUAUAAGCACUUGCAGGGCUUACAGCUAAAGCUUCUGUAGGAAGUGCAGGUAUGGUCUCAGGAAUUUCGAUGAACCUGAUUUCUGUAUGAAUUGAAGCAAGCGAUUCGCUGUUCUUGCUUGUGCCACCGUAAAUUGGAUUGUGGAUGGCAAGCAUGGUUAUCAAGAAACUGUCGUUUCUCUCAAGAACCAUCUUUGCUAACUGAACAGCUGAUACAAGGUGGCCAAAUCCAGGUGCAGGGACAAAGACGAGCUGUGUUUUCUUCAUUUUGGAGGUUUUGAAUGUUCAAUGUGGUGAUCCUUGUUUGCCUUAUAAUGGGCUCAAGGUUAAUGCCACAAUGCCAGCUGUUAUGGAUUUUUUUUUCUAAAUUAAUCAUGAUCAAAUUGGAUGUGACAAAUAUUACAAAGAUUGAUUUCAUAGAAAAAUUUUCUUGUAAUAUUUUUAAACAAUUCAAAUUAAAUAAAAAAAUAUAAAUAUAAAAUAAAAUAAAGGUAGGGUUUCAUUAAUCAUUUUAUUCUUAAAUUAUAUUUUUAAUCUAAAUAUAAAAAAAUUAUAUAUAGACUAAACUAAAUUAUAAAUAAAUAAAAUAAAUAUAUUUUUUAACAACAUUAAUCUAUCCCGUAAGAUAUAAAUAAUUUAAUAUGAUAAUUUAAUUAAGUAUCACUUGAUUAAAAUAUAUUUUAAAAAUUAAAGAUUAGAUUAUAAUUAAUACAAGCAUUAUAUAUAUUUCUAGAUCUAGAAAAAUCAAGUAAGAAUUUAAUUGAUUAAAUUUCUAAAAUUACCCUUAUAUAGUAUAUGGAUAUUAUUUAAGAGAAAAUAAAUAUAUGUUGUCAUUUAUACGGUUUUAGGAUUUCUUAUAAAUAUAAAACUAAACCUAUUAUUUUGUAAGUAAAAAAUAAUGAUUGUCUGUUAAAUAGAAAAAUUACGUAAAAACAAUAUUAAAACUAACACUUUAUACAUAACAAUCUAUCCUUUCUAAAUUGAAAUUUAUAAGUUUUUUCACGGGUAGUUUGUGUGGAUUAUCAUUAGAGAUCAGGUAAUAAAAUUAUUUAUAGUUUAUGACAAUCUAAUCUUUUAAAAAAUAAUUUAAAAUAAAAAAAUAUUUAAAUAAUAAAUUUCUAAAUAAUUUUAAAUUUAAUCUAAUAUGAUAUAAGAAAUAAAAUCCUGUUAGUGCGAGUUUGUGUGUAUUGACAACUUAAUAUAUCCAGUCAUGCGAAUUAUUUGUAGUUGUUAACUUUUUAUGGUUUCAAAUUGAGGAAGGACGUAGUUUUUAAUGUCAACAACAAUGAUUGAUUGUGAUUGCAUUUAAUAGCUAGACAGUUACAUGGCUAUAAAGAAUCUAAAGAUAUAAUAUAUAUACAUGAUGAUAUUCUAUUUAAAUUUAUUAAAUGGAAAUUUCGUAGGAAUUGCUGAAGUGUUAAAUUGUGGAUGAAGUUUUUUAUGAAUUUUUAUUUUUAUAUUAUUCUAUUGUACUUUUCAUCAUUGGUAGUUAUUUAUGAAAAAUAUUAUAUCACAAUUUAUAUCAAAAUUAUUGACACAAAAAUUCUAUCACUAUUAUCUUCUAAAAUUAUUGAUGAAAAUUUUUUCAUUUGCAUUUCUGAUUUUAUUUAUUAAUUUUCUGGUAAUAAAAAUAAUAAUAAUCUUAUGCUCAGGUUUAUAAUCCUAUAAUUAAAAAAAAUAGUAUCCAUACCAGAAAUUGAAACUUAAAAAAAGAUUAAACCUUCCAUUUUUAAAUUAUAUGAAAUGUUGAUAAUACAACUAAUCAAACAUAAACUAACAAUCAUUUAAACAAAAAUUAAGAAUUGAUGGUAUAAUUCUAUAAAUUAAUUUUUAAAAUUACAUUUUAUAAAUUUUUAUCAAGUAAUUCUACUAUCAAUUCCUAAAAUCUAACAAUCAUUUAAACAAAAUUUAAGAAUUGAUGAUAUAAUUACUUGGUAAAAUUUUAUAAAAAUAAGCAAACUUUCCUAAUAAUCAUAUAUACUCAUCCUUCUUAUUAAAUGGCAUUUAAAAGUCUAAAAUAAAGAAUACCUACAUCUAGCUAAAACAAAAUUCAGGAUUCUUCUACAAUAAAAACGCUAUGGCGCAUCAUAAACGAAAAAUCCAAACCAACACGAUCAAAUAUAUAUAUAUAUAUCAUGUAAUGACACAUAAACUUUCAAGUCAAAAUAUUAUAUUUUGAAGAGUGAAAAUACAAACAAUGUUAGUCAAUCUAAAGCUAUCACAUGCCCAACUAUUCUAAUGGCGCUAAUUUUCAACUACUAAUUAAAAACAAAAUACUAAAAAUUAUAUAUUUUAUAUUUUUAAAUCAAUUUAUAUAUUAAUUAAAAUAAAGUAUACAAUAUUAAAAUUAUUCAAAAUGUUAGACUCACAUCAUGCAUAAACUCAUAUGAGCUUAUCUUUUAAUGUAUCAUGAAUGAUUUUAUUGGUGUGGGUUUUUUAUAUAUAUAAUCCUGAAUAUUUAAACUAUUUACCUCAAUUAUUUUCUUAAAAUUCUAAAUUUUACCAACCAUGUAAUGUAUUGAUGGGGAAGGCAGUGAGGUGACUGUUUCUGGAGGGACGGGUGCUAGUGAAUUGGAUAGUGAGGGGUCGACAAGCCAUGGCCAUAAGCAAAAAGAUAAAGGACGAGGAGAGGGAGAAAAAGUUGUGCAUAAUUUGUGCAACAUGUGAUGGUGGAACAGGGAUAAUAAUCAUAUUAUAUCUGUGUGUGUUUUUAAAAAAAUAUCGUAUUAUUUUUUUAAAAUAUAUUCAAUAAAUAAGUAGGCUUCGGUUAAUAUACAAAGUCUCAUGUUAAAUUAUUAUACCUGUCCCACCAUUUUACACAAAUUAUGCACAACUUUUUUUCUUUCUCCUCGUCUUUUAUAUUUUUGCUUAUUGCCGUGGCUUGUCGAUCCCUCACGGUUCAAUUUACAAGUACCCAUCCCUUUCAAAACAGUCAUUUUAAAUUCAGCAAGGGUAAGUUAAACUAAUUAAAAGUUAUUGGUUUUAAUUUUAUAAAUAUCAUGAUCGUAUAAUUAUUAAUUUUAAAAUUUUUAAGAAUUAAUCAAUAUACAUACAAGUUAGUCUAUUGGUUUGAAUUUUAUAAAUAUCAGGAUCGUAUAAUUAUUAAUUUUAAAAUUUUUAAGAAUUAAUCAAGAUAUAUACAAGCUGGUCUAAACAUCAAUAUUAAUAAUUAAAAAAUAACAUUAGUUGGUGUGCUAGAUUUUAAUUCUAUAAUGUCUGCGAACAAGAAGGAGAAUGUCUGCGAACAAGAAGGAGUACGAAUGCUGGUCUUGAAGAAAGCAUAGGAACAAUUAACAGUUCCACAACAGUGGAUGUCAGGGAACCAAGGAUCUCCAUAGCCAAUGUUCUGUCUUUGUUUAGCAGCCAAACCACAAGUUUUGGAUGAUCACUACUGCGUAUUUGAAAAACUAUGGAGAUGGAUGUAGCAGAUAAAAUGAUUGAAAGAAUUUGCUUAGAGCAACUACAGAGAGACAGAGAGGCUAGGUUAGUUUGUGAAGUCAAGUCAAGCAAUUAUAUUCAAGUAAAUAUGACCCUAAUGACAUAUUCUAUUAAUUCAUUAAUAAAUUAUAUUGUAAGUGAUUAAAUAUUUAUAUUUAAGAAUUUUUAUAUAUUAAAUAAAUUUUUUAAAAAAAUUAAUUCAUUAAUAAAUUAUUUUCCAGUUUAUUUUUCAUUACACUACCAAACAUCAAAAAAUAUUUUUCCGGAAUUUAUUUUUUUCUGGAAUUCACUUUCUAAAAAAAAAUUACUUUUCUGCAAUGCUUUAAUUUAAUUUUAAUUUGAGGAAUGAAAUUAAGCCACAGUAGGAAUUGAUGAUCAUUGAUGGAAUCAACAUGUUAGAAAAGCCUAAGCUCUUCAAGGUUUGCCUCCUAGCCAUUGAUCAAUCAAGUUUCCAAAAGCAACAUACGAAGAUCCACCCUCCACCACAGCUUUCUUCGCCAUUUCACUGGUUUCUUUGGCCUUGUUCCUCAGUUCACCACCUUGUUCCAUCAUGGUUUUCACAGCUUUUGUUAUCACCUCCGCCUUGACAAAAUCUGUAGGACAAUCUCUCCUAAAAUCCAACGUCAAUUCCACUGCUAAUCCCAAGUCUUUCACCAGCUGAAAUGCAUUCACGUGUUGCUCAGAAUAUAAUGGCCAGGUUAUAAUAGGCACCGCAUACCACAAGGCCUCCAAAGUAGAGUUCCAUCCACAGUGUGAUACGAAAGCGCCUACUGCUUUAUGUGCCAAGAUUUCUACUUGUGGUGCCCAUCCACAUAGCAUCCCAAUGUUUUUAGUUCUUUCCAAGAAUCCCUGUGGCAAGAUCUCUCCAUAGUUGUCAAAAAAACUAGCUUGCAGCUUCCCCUUGGAGGGUUUCAACCGGAUGGACCACAAGAACCUAUGUCCACUCCUCUCGAGCCCGAUUGCAAUUUCUUUCAACUGAGCUUCAUCAAAGCUUCCUCCACUCCCAAAGCACAAGAACACCACUGAUUUUUCAGGUUGAUCAUCAAGCCAUUUCAAGAUCUCGUCACGCUUGACGGCAUCGGAUCCUGACAGACUCUUUCCCUUGUGAUCAAUCAAUGGCCCAACAUUGAAAAUUGGUGGUAUAUCAUCUCUAGCCAAAAGAGCACUAACUGCAUGGGACUCAGCUUCUGAAAAUGUAUUAACAAUGAUACCGUCGGAGUCCUUAAACUCUCUUCCAUGGUUUGCAAAAGCCUCAUAUUCCACAUCGAUGUGCAAUAACGGCAAAAGACGGUAAGGCACGGGAUUUGAAAACAGGGGAUGAUAUAGUCAGGGUCAGUAGGGCUAAACUUAGGCUCACCCUUGUCUUCUCUAUCUGAAAGGUAAAGCAUCGUGGCAAGAAAGGCAGCAUCAGAAGUGUAAAAAACAUGAGAAGGGACCCCAAGUUCUUUGGCAACAUCAAUAAAGGCAGUGCAGAACAUAUCAACAACAACACUAGCAAUUGGUGCAGGGUUGUGGGCCAUGACUUGGUUAACAAUAGUAUCUUUCACAAGGGUUUUGUGAUCAAUGAAAUAAGAAGUAUAAGCACUUGCAGGGCUUACGGCUAAAGCUUCUGGAGGAGGGGCAGGUAUGGUCUCAGGAAUUUCGAUGAACCUGAUUUCUGUAUGAAUUGAAGCAAGCGAUUCGGUGUUCUUGCUUGUGCCACCGUAAAUUGGAUUGUGGAUGGCAAGCAUGGUUAUCAAGAAACUGUCGUUUCUCUCAAGAACCAUCUUUGCUAACUGAACAGCUGAUACAAGGUGGCCAAAUCCAGGUGCAGGGACAAAGACUAGCUGUGUUUUCUUCAUUUUGGAGGUUUUGAAUGUUCAAUGUGGUGAUCCUUGUUUGCCUUAUAAUGGGCUCAAG
rnacentral:lncRNA from 1 species